UACGUAGGGUGCGAGCGUUGUCCGGAAUUAUUGGGCGUAAAGGGCUCGUAGGCGGCCAACUAAGUCAGACGUGAAAUCCCCAGGCUCAACCUGGGAACUGCGUCUGAUACUGGAUGGCUUGAAUCCGGGAGAGGGAUGCAGAAUUCCAGGUGUAGCGGUGAAAUGCGUAGAUAUCUGGAGGAAUACCGGUGGCGAAGGCGGCAUCCUGGACCGGCAUUGACGCUGAGGAGCGAAAGCCAGGGGAGCAAACGGG
rnacentral:rRNA from 1 species